AUUUUAUCUGCUACCGAGCUUUGGAGCGGCCCCGGUGCCAUGGAGCAACACAAGGCUGAAAGCUAGAAGCGUCUGGAUGAAGCUGCUCCCUGGCGAAUGAGCCAACAACACUUAUGGAAGGCCCGGUUCAUUUUGAAGAACACCUGGAAUAGAAGCUCCCUCGGCACCAGAUAUGGACGCAGGAUGCUGCCUCGGCUGGGUUGGCUGAAAACUACAUGGACAUUUUACUCUGCUCACCGCCUCGUGGAGGGAUUGAAGAAAAUGUUUAUUUCAAAGGCAUGAGCCCACCUUAUCCAAUGCAGGGAUGGAUAGGACAUAUGUCGUGAGCAAACACUCCAUUUCCAAUUUAAACACUCCAUCUGCACUAUUUAAGGAAGUGCACUGUGGAUGGGACUGGGGCUCUACACACUGUAAGGAGUGAGCCAUUCAGACGAUGUGUUCAAGCCCAGUUCCAACGUGUCGGACUGAACAGUUCAUGUCAUCUCUGAGCUCUCACGCUACAUUCUGUCUCUCUAGUCUCUCCGUUGCAAGCCGGCCACAUUGGGGUCUGCUCCGAAUGACCUGGAAUGGGGAGAUGCUCUCCCACAGGUUUGUCGGUGUUUGUGCAGCCCUUUGGUCCAGGGAUUGUGUUCUCUGGGGAGAUGUGGGGACAGAGCUGGCAGUGGUUCCCCUGGUGUUGCCUGUUUGGAGUGGUCCUAUAGGGCUGAGUCUCUGUCAGAGGGGCAGGAACAGAUAUGGCGGUAUUGCCGGGCUUAGCAGUAGUGAUGGAUCAUUUGGUGUGUUGAGGCUGCUAGGUUGAGGCGUGUCAUG